GAUGAACGCUGGCGGCGUGCCUAAUACAUGCAAGUCGAACGAGGUGCUUUUGUAGCAAUACGAGAGUAUCCUAGUGGCGAACGGGUGAGUAACGCGUUGGUGACCUACCCCAAAGUGUGGAAUAACAGUCCGCAAGGAUUGCUAAUACCUCAUGUGGUUAUCGGGUUUAGAAACUGAUAACUAAUGGAGCAAUUCGCUUUGGGAGGGACCUGCGUCCCAUCAGCUAGUUGGUGAGGUAGUGGCUCACCAAGGCUACGACGGGUAGGCGACCUGAGAGGGUGAUCGGCGACAGAGAGAGUGAGAUACGGCCCAGACGCCGACGGGAGGAAGCAGUGGGGAAGAGGGCAAAGAGGGCGGAAGACGGAUGCAGAAACGCCGGGGGGGGGAUGACGGAGGGCGAGUGGUAAAAAGCUUACGCCGGUGAGGAAGCGUGAGUGACGGUAAGGUGUAAAGAAGCACGGGCUAAAUACGUG
rnacentral:rRNA from 1 species